rnacentral:lncRNA from 1 species
GUGGGAGGGCUUAAGGAAGUAAAAUGGCGGACCUGGCGAACGAAGAAAAGCCUGCCGUCGCACCGUCUGUCUUUGUGUUUCAAAAGGACAAAGGACAGAAGAGAUCUGCUGGCAGCUCCAGUCCCGAAGCCGGAGAAGAUUCUGACCAUGAGGAUGGAAACUACUGCCCCCCUGUCAAGCGUGAGCGGACAUCCUCUCUAACUCACUCAGAAGAGAAGAGCAGCGGCUUCCGGCUGAAGCCCCCAACACUCAUCCACGGUCAGGCACCCAGUGCAGGUGGGUGACAUUUGCAGGCCUCUGCCUGGCUCCAGGACCCUUGCUGUAGGCCCAGUCUGCUCCUGGGACUGGGACUGACAUGGAGGCAGCCCUGGGAAGUUGCUCUGACCUAUGGGAGCAGGGUAUCUCCUUCCUGGGAACUCAUGUGACCCUGUACCAGCCCUGGCCAUUUUCCUUUGCACCGUGCAAACUGUGGGAGGCACAGUGCAAAGGAAGACCUGGACCUUGUCACAGGUCUCAAUGGCAGGUGUCUGUCACUAUAAAGUGUUGGUGUUAAGUGUGGCCUCCCUUGCACAACCAUAGAAGUUGAUGUGCCCUGGAGCAGCAGGGUCAAGGUUCCUAGAAUCCACUGUGUUCCAGGUCUGCCCAGCCAGAAACCCAGGGAACAGCAGCGUGGUGUGCUCCGUCCAGCUGUGCUGCAGGCCCCUCAGCCCAAGGUGCUGUCGCAGACGGGUAAGGGACUGAGACACAGUUUGAAGUACAGAGGCAAGAGGACCCUUUGGGUUAGUCCCAUCCUGAGGGGAACCUCAAUAGGGUACUGCCAAGGUUUUCUGUGUCCCCAGGUCUCUUGUCAACCUCCUAAGCUGCUCUGCAAGGGUUUCCAGCUUUGCUGGGUUUUGGUCUUGUUACUCAAAACUCAGAAGUAACCUAGCCACUUUGGACCUGGUUAAUCUCCUGCUGAUUAAUCACCCAAAGUCUGCUUGGGUCCAUUGCUCAGAGUCCACCGGAUAGAGCCAUAGUAUAGACCCUUAAAAGAUUCCUGUUUCAUUUCAUCUUGAUUUGGGGGUAAGUAGGAUGGACCUGGCAUGUAGGGCAGUUGUCAUUUUGUCCUGGUUUAGUUGGAUUUUUGUGACUCAGUAUCACCCUGUGCAGCCAGCCCAGGCUCCUUUUGAACUCACUUUGUAUUCCUUCUCACAGGAUAGUGGGCACACACCACUAUUCCAGCUUCCUUCUGGCUUUGUGAUUGUAUGAGGUGCUGGGGUUGGAUGCUGACCCCACACACACAGGCCGGGCUCUCCUUCAGUUGCAUGGAGCAAUCUGUGAUAGAUUUCCUUUUACUGCUCGUUUUCUGGGAGUCCUGCUUCUGAGCUCACUAGAAGCCAGUUCUUGUUCAUGUCUUGUGUGUGUUCGUGUGUGUGUGCGCGUGCGUGUAGUCCUGAGGAUGCAUCCCUGGCCCUGAGCAUCCUAAGCUAUAUGCUAAUACAGUGUCUUUUAGAAUAAAGGCAGCAGCUCUUCAUGUCUGUGAGUUUUGAGCCUACUUUUGUUUUUAAUUUAAGAAUAUAUGACUUUUUCUUCCUCCCUUUCUUUCUCUUUGUUUCUUUGUUUCUCUCUCUCUCUUCCCUCCUUCCUUCCUUCCUUCCUUCCUCCCUCCCUCCCUCCCUCCCUCCCUCCCUCCCUCCUUCCUUCCUUCCUUCCUCUUUUCCUUUCUUAAAUAUAGCCCUAGGUGACCUAGAAUUUGCUGUCUAGAUCUGUCUUUCCUCUGACUCAUAGUGAUCCACCUGCCUCUGCCUCCAAAUGUUGAGAUUAAAAGCUCUCAUCACUAUACACAGCCCAGGAUGAAUGAACUUCAGAGUCUAGCAGCUUAGUUAGCUGCUGAAGGGCUGGGAGACACCUGUCCACUCUCUUUCCUUUUUGCAGUUCCCAGCAGUGGCACCAAUGGAGUCAGUAUGCCAGCAGACUGCACGGGGCCAGCAACGUCUGUAUCACCAGAAAACCUCACGCAGAGGAGUCCCUCUGAGUCUGCCGAGGAGACACACACACUCGAGGAGAAGGUGCCUCAGAAAACCCCACAUGGCACCUCAGAGGAGGGGCACUGUGAAGAGGAGCAGGCGGCCCCACAGGCCUUUGUGUUUGGACAGAACUUGAGAGACAGAGUGAAGUUAAUGAAUGAGAAUGCCAGCGUGGCAGAUGUAGACAGUGCUGCACAUCCCAGCUCAGAAACACCCUCUGCGACCAACUACUUCCUUCAGUACAUCAGUUCCAGGUGAGUGCACUGUGCUGUGCAGGUGGGGUCUUCCCAAAACACCAGGACCAGAGGGCCUUCCUACCAAGCCCCAUGACUUGGGCUGGGGAGCCAGCCUGUGUGCUAGUAUGUUGGGAGGGAGGCAGACAUGCUUUGGCUCCCCUGUACUGUGCCUCUGGUGCCCCUUGUGCCACACUGAUGGUGCCACUCCUCUCCAGCGCAGACAACGCGACCCACAGUGCUGACAACUCCACCAAGUUUGUGUUUGGCCAGAACAUGAGUGAGCGCGUCUUGGUGAGUGGUCCUUGCACAGUGAUUUGGUGUCUAUUUCCACUUGGGCAUACAUCCUGUGGCUGACAUGCUGUCUCCUGUACUCUCAGGACACUCUGGUGCAGGAAUGAGAGAAAGACCAGCUCCACUCAUUAAAGGCUUUCUCACAGAGCUGUUGGGCUGCCAUCUCCCUUCCUAUCUUUAUUGUUCACAGACAUAGGCUUUCCUGUGGUCAGAGCCAGUUGUAGCACUCAAAGCUGCACCACUGAAUCAGAUGCCCUAUGUUUCUUGUCCAUGGAGCCAGCUAUGCCUGCCACUUCUGCAGUCAGGCAGCCAGGAUAGAAAGCAGGCAUGUGUGCACUCCCUGCUUUCUGACCUUUAGCUGCGCUACAACUUCUUCCUGUUGGCCUGCCACAGUGUGGCUUCUCGGAACUACCCCAGAUUGCUACACACAGGUGGCACUCUUGUGGCCCUGAGAGGCUGGGCCUAACUGGGAAUGGAAUGGCUGUUGAGGACAGGCCCAGCAGGGCACAGGAGUCAGGCCUUCAGGAAGUGCUGAGCGGCCGUCCCUGCUGGGCCUCUCGCUCUGUCCUUAGCACCCACAGCAGCUCCGCCCUGGCACGCUUGUUUCCUCAGAGCCCCCCAAAGCUGAAUGAAGCCAAUUCAGACACCAGCAGGGAGACUACACAUGCCCAGUCAGGUUCUGAGUCGUCAUCCCAGGAGGCCGCCCCCAAGAAAGGUAGGAACAGCCCUGCAUGCACCCCAGGGGAGACUCCUGAUUCCCAGCUAGGGACAGCCGUGGCCAUAAUAGACCUUAGAGAGAUUGGCCUGAAUUGCCCAUUAUGGGCACUGGGUGGCUGUGAUCUGCUGACAACAGGGCUCCCCAGGUCCCUGGGAGGAUCAGGCCUGCCCUGCUGAUUUGUGCUUUUUUUCCUUGGGUCUCCACUGCUAUACAGAGUCCCUGGCAGAGUCAGCCGCUGCCUAUACAAAGGCUACAGCGUGGACGUGUUUGCUGGAGAAGGUGGAGGUCAUCACGGGGGAGGAGGCAGAGAGCAAUGUGCUGCAGGUGAGACCAAAAACAGGGGUGUUAUGGCAGAGGGACAUCUUGUGCUACCUACUACGUAGCACACAACAGAAUGAAGCUAGGUGUGUUGGUGCACACCUUUAACUUCAGCACUGGGAGACAAAGGUAUACAGAUCUCUCUGAACUUGAGGCCAGCCUGGUCUACAGAUUUCCAGGCCAAUCAGGAACUCUUUUGUCUAGAGGAAAACAAACAAAAAUGUGUUCCACAAGCACUGUGACAACUUACUCCUGAAUAAGGCUUGCCCAUAAUGAACUAGCACCAUAGCACCUUCAAGGCUUCAUCAUAUCCACUUUCUCUGUGAUGGAAAUUUCUUCUGGUAUUCCAUGAAAUUUGUGUCUGGCGUUGUCCUUGAGUGUAGUGUCCUUCAGUCUGUGCUUAGACUUGUGUGAGCAUUGUUUGUGUUCCUAGCUGAGGAAUGCUCUGAAGGGAAUGCUUGCUGUCAGAGAGCCUCUUUCCGCUUUGAGACUCUUCCAGGCAGUGUGACACGUGCUUGUUUUCUGGGUGGGCAGUAGGAGGGACUUCCCCAGUAUGUUCCCUACAGCUGAGUAUUUCUUCAAGGCAUCCAGUGCUCCUUUGCUGUGAGAACUUGGUGGCAUCUCUCUGUGCUUGGAUUUGCAUUUCCAAAGUCACCCUUGUUUACAUCCUUGGACAGCAGGGUGCAUGGCUCCAGGCCAGAGCCUCCUGUGUAGGAGCCCUGGCUUCUGUUCCCAGCACCAUAGAAACUAAAGCCGUACAACAGAUGACUGAACAGAGAGUGACAAAGCGGCCCACUGUCCUCAGUGUCCUGGCCUUAGUCUGUAGACUGUCAGACACCCCAGCCUCACUGCUAACUCUGAGCUUGAAGUGGGACCCAUGCUUUGGGGUGCAGAGGGUAUGGGUACCCCCAACCUGGUCACUGAUCCCAUGUGUUACAGAUCCAGUGUAAGCUGUUUGUGUUCGAUAAGACCUCACAGUCAUGGGUGGAGCGUGGCCGGGGACUUCUCAGGCUCAAUGACAUGGCGUCAACCGACGAUGGCACAUUACAGUCCCGGCUAGGUGAGCUCUGGGGAAGGACAGACCCUCUCAGAGGUGGGCUUAAGUUGUAGGCUCCACAGCUGGAGCAGGGAAAUGACUGUGAGCAAAGGCAGCAGUGAGCCCCACACCUGCUUGCGAUAGCCUGGGCCUGCUGCCCUCACACUGGGUUCCUGCUCAAGUAUCUUUAGUGGACUUCUAAAAAGUAUAGCUUGGAAGGAAGGUGGGGGCAGGAAGAGUGCCAGCCUAGGCUUCAGAGCUGUCCCUCCUGUUUGGGGGACUUUAUGUGAAAAUGGUCUCUCUCUAGCCCAGGCUGGCCUGGUCUGCUCUGAGCCUGUCAUGUCCUAAUUUUGUCAUGUCCUAACAUUUGGUUACAUUCCCCUUAAAAGUUAAGGCCAGAAAUUGGGAAGCUUAGGCAGGAGGACUGAAAAGAGUUUGAGGUCAGCUCAGGCUACUGAGACCCUCACAUCAGG